AUGUAGGGCCAUACCACACUGAGUGCGCCCAAUCUCAUCUGAUCUCAGAAGCUAAGCAGAGUUGGGCCUGGUUAGUACUUGGACAGAAGACACCUUCUUGGUCCUCACCUGUGGGCUUGCACU
ensembl:rRNA 5S_rRNA 5S ribosomal RNA